rnacentral:lncRNA from 1 species
CUACAUUGUUGAUAUAUUAAAUUUAUAUGACUUAAUUAAUUAUAGUAGAACAGGACCACUCCCUAAAAAUGCAUAUAAAGAUGUAAAUAAAUUUAAAUUAGUUACAUUCGAAUAUAUUAUAUAUUUUAUCAGUAUUUAUAUUGAAGAAACAUAUAACAAAAUAAAAGAAUUGAAACAAAAACAAUUUUUAAAUAUCUUUUUUUUUUCAUUAUAUUUGUUUUUUAUUUAUUAUUCUAGUAGUAUUAUAUUAUGGAACGUAACAAAAAUUUUUAUUUUUUUUUAUCAAUUUGAAGAACAUAAACAAGAAAUUAGUUCUUACAUGCACAAGUUAGAACAUCAUAUAAAUUAUUUAAUAUAUAAACAGAAUGACAUUACUAAUUCUGACAAACAUAUUUUGUUAAAAUGUUUGUUGGCCCUACUGAACUCGAAGAGGAGUGUAACUGUUGGUACAGUUGAUGGUCUACAUGAUGGUCUACAUGAUGGUCUACAUGAUGGUCUACAUGAUGGUCUACAUGAUGGUCUACAUGAUGGUCUACAGAAUGGUCUACAGAAUGGCAUGCAGCGUGACACACAAUAUGAAGAGGAAUACAACUUUUGUAAUUAUUUCAAUAGCAGUUCCGAAUUACAGUGUAAUGAUGUACUGGACAUGGAAUUUGAAAAUGCGUUUAAAUACGAUGAUACUUUUUUUUUAGGAGUCGUAAAUAAAAAAAUCGUUAAACAUAACAAUUUGAAUAAAGAAAUUUGUAACAGCCGAAAUGAUAUAAACAGCUGGAAUGAAAAAAGAGAAAACAUUAAUGGAAAAGCAUGGGGUGUAAACGGAAGAGCUGACGAAAACGAUAUGAAAAACAACAUGCACGACAAUAAUGGUAGAAAAGAAAAUAACACAAUGAAAGAACUUGAUUUGAUCAUAAAAAAAAAUAAUGAAUAUAUUGAAAACAAUUGGCUAAAAGAGUCAACUGUUUUUUUUUUAAUAAACCAAACUGUUCACUUAAAAAUAUAUUUUCAAAUAGAUAGAGAAAACAGUUUAUUAUUUUUACUUUUUAAUUUAGUGGAUAAACAAGUUAAAAAUAUACACCUUCGUACGUCUUUCGAUAUAGUAGAGUAUGAUAUAGAACCUGACCCAAAAGGAAAUGAUUUUAUUUUAGUGGAGAGUGAUCAGGGUAUAUUUAAUAAUCCUAAAGGGUUGACUGAGGGCAAUGACAACAGUAAUGAUAACAGUAAUGACGACAGAAAUGACAACAGUAAUGACAACAGUAAUGACAACAGUAAUGACGACAGAAAUGACGACAGAAAUGACAACAGUAAUGAUGACAGUAAUGACGACAGUAAUGACGACAGUAAUGACGACAGUACUGUUUACGUUUCUGAUAAUUCUAAAGAAGCGGAUGGUGAUAUACCCAGUGACAAAUUUAAUAAAAAAAAAAAAAACAGAUUAAUA